rnacentral:lncRNA from 1 species
AAGUUCUUCGUAGGUUACCUCUCCAUCACAAGAUUCUGUAUCAGAUGUAAUAGUACCUGUUAAGACUGAGAUAUGUUUGGCAGUCACAGAUGUUGUAUCAUCUUCUGAGUCAUCAUCAUCAGACCAACUGACAGUUAGUCCUUUCUUCGCUCUUUUCUGAUAUGUUGGACAUUCAGGUCUGAUGUGGCCAUAUCCCUCGCAU